AAUCGCUUGGACCCUGGAGACGGAAGUUGCAGUGAGCUGAGAUCGUGCCACUGCACUCCAAUCGGGCAACUGAGCAAGACUCCGUUUCAAAAAAAAAGAAAAAAAAGACUUAUGUUUAAACCAGCAUGAAUGACUAUAUGAUAAUACAGGGCAAAGGGUUUUUUUUUUUUUUUUUAGCUUGUAGUAAUCAUUUUAACUUGAUAUCUCUGGAAUUUGUCCCCACCCUGGCACAGACCUGAAAGCACUGACUUUGUUUUCAAAGCUUUUUCAAUGCAAGAGUGCCUCCAAAUGGUGAGUAGGAAUGAAGACUUCCAGAUGCUUCUAUUCUUGCCUGUACCCAGAAUUCUCUUGCUUCAGUGUUUUUCCCAUUUUCAUGAGCCCAUGUAUGAAAAAGGGUAAGGAACUGUGGAGAAGAAAGUUUUUAUUAGCCUUCCUCGGGGUAUUCCAUGCUCAAUCUAUCCUUUCUCAGUCCCAAAUAGCCUACUGAGCUGAACUGCCUAAGACAUAGUCAUUCACCAAAUAUUUAAGUACACACAUUUAAAAAGAUAAAAUUCCAGGUGCAAUGGGAGACGAGGAAAAACAGUAAAGUUGUCAGGGCCAUCAAGAAGCUUUCACAAGGUGAAGGGAGGGCUGGAGUUUCUCAAAACAUUGUUACUUAAAGUGUGGUAGUGGGCCAGCAGUAUGGGCAUCACCUAGGAGAUUGUUAUUAAUAAAAAUGCAUAAUUUCAGGCCCUACUCUAGACCUACUGGACCCAAAUGUGCGUGUUAGUAAGAUCUCCAGGUGAUUCUUAGGCACAGAAAAGUUCUAGAAGCACUGGCCUGAAGUGGGAAGUACUGUGAGAAUUCAGGGUGGUUACGCUUUUUCGCAUUUUACAUAAAAUUAUCUUGUUGAAUUUUCAUAAUCCAAUGAAGUAGGUGCUGUUAUUAUCCUUAUCUGACAAAGUACUUGAGUCAAAGCAUCUUGACAAAGCUUUUGACAAAGCAUCUUGCCUGGCUGGCACAAAUAGAGAUGGAGCCCAGUUUCCAAUCUCAUUCUGACUGGAAGAAUGUCAGAGAGGGACAUUUAGUAUAAAGGAAUAACAGAUGGAAAGUUGCAGGUGGUAUUUGAAGUACCAAAAAUACCACAGUUCUGUAAUGUGAGUGAGUGUGAAGGCGAAUAGUGGGAAAUACAAUUUGAAGUGUAGGUGAAAGCCAGGUUAUUCAACUCAAACUCCACAGUCAUGGUGUUGACAUUUCUUCAUUUUUGAAUAUAGAGAUGGGAAACUGGUGCAUGUUUUUUUCUGUGAAUAACAUGAAAGCUACGAAAAAGACAAGUUUUCUGAAACUUUUACUUACUUGUUUUUGUUAUUUUUUGAGACGAGAUCUCAUUAGGUUGCCCAGGCUGAUCUUGAACUCCUGAGCCCAAGCAAUCCUCCCACCCCAGCCUCCCAAAGUGCUGGAAUUGCAGGCAUGAACUACUGCACCUGGCCAGAAACUUCUAAAACUCAGAAACGUUGCUCCUCCUCACCUCCUACCCCAAGAAAACAUUGUUGUUUGUAAUCACACUCUACAAACUUUACAAGAAGGGCUCAGCUAUUUUUCAGGCUUUGCUAGCCAACCCAGAAGGAAGUGGUCUCCUAAUUCAAGACAAUAAUAAUAUCUUCCUGUCCUUGGGUCUGCAAGAGAAAAUUUUGAAAAAACUUCUGACAGUGGAAAACAAAGUGAAAGACCUAGAAGGGAUAAUCAUUGCUCAAAAACCUGCCACGAAGAGGGAUUGUUCCUCUGAGCCCUACUGCAGCUGCUCUGACUGCCAGAGUCCCUUGCCCACAUCAGGGUUUACUUCCCCAUUUGAAAUGUGAUGGACUCCAAUCUUCUCCAGAAAAGCACUGUUUCCCUCAUGUGUGCAGUGGCAUAUCAAUAAAGAUAGAGAACUCUAUUGAAA